CCACAGCUGACCCAACACUUGCCUCAGCUGAUUAAACAGAGGUUCAGGCUGUGAUUACCAAUUUCCCAUACGCUAUGAAAACUCCUCAUUUGCAGCCAGUGCUCCCCAAGAUUUUUGGGUCUCAUCUGACACUUGUAAGAAAACAAUUAUGUAAAAUCUUCUACCGAAUUUAAAGCUGCUGUAGUUUAAGUUUGCAUCUGUAAAGCUUGUAUCCACCUUGUUAGAGCAUAAGGCUUGAUUUUGCUUGAAUGAGCUCUGGGGAGAUCACAUGGAAUGGCACAAGAUGGAAAUGCAACUCAAGGAGAAUAUCAGAGAAGAUCUAUUUCUCUUUAUGACUGCAAGACAGUCUCCUAAUAUCUCAGAAUCUGUCCCAGGAGCAGAGGCUAAGAUGCCACGGUCUAUGGCACUUCAGCUAGCUGAGAAUUUAUGGGAAGCCAACAGUGUGCCACCAACCGGGUGCAACGUGAGCUGGAGUCCUUGAACUGCAUUUGCUGAUUGACAAUGAGCCCAGCUGAAGUGUUAGUUAUUUACUUUCUUCAUAGUGAUUUUUUUUUUUGUUUGUUUUGUGCUAUUAAGUGAUGUUUUUUUUUCCCUGCUGUAGCAGAAAUGCUGAGCACAGCCUGAACCAGUGAUUGAGCACCUGGUGGGAAGGCAGGGCCAACUCUGGGGGAGCUCAGUGCGUGCAGUGUGGAUGAGUGACUGAAAGGGGUAAAGCCAGUAUUAAACCUUUCUCAGACUUCAUUUAAGGGCUGGCAGUGGAAGCAAGGGUAUCUUGCUGGAGAUCCUUAUGUACCUGAGGCCUUCUGGAGCUUGAGCACUGAAUUUGAGUAUUACAGGCCGGGAUCGUCAGGCUUCAGGAGAGAAAAAAGCAACCUUGUUUUUAAGGAUAUGGACUGCCCUGUGUCCUUCAUGACAGCACUCAACAGAAUGAAGACUGCGUCCAGUGUCACUCAUGGGCGCUAAGACUCAUAGAAUCAUAGAACAUUUGAGCUGGAAGGAACCCAUAAGGAUCAUCAAGUCCAGGAUCUACACAGGGCCACCCAAAAAUAAAGCCAUAUGCCUGAGCAUUGUCCGGACACUUCUUGAACUUCUGCAAGUUCUGUGCCAUCACCACUGCCCUGGGGAGCCUGUUCCACGGCUGACCAUCCUAUGAUGAAGAAGGGAGCGAAUGGUAUGGAAAUUGAAGACGAUUAUUACUGUUGAUGGCACUGCAAACCCCACUAUGUUGAAUAUCAGACGAUUAGCCAUUGUCCAUGAUGGGGUGGGGAAGUCUAAAACACAUGCAGAGAUAUUCAACUCAGGAAGGUGUUUCACAUUCCGAAACAUAAAGGUUGGGACGCUGAGAAGAAUCCCAAAGAUCCAGAUUUCUCCAGUGCCCCGACACUGCCUUGUAUGAACACAGAACUCCAGAUGCCUUGUUGACAGAAAAUGCAGUUCAUUUGCAGUUGCUUAAUUCAUUUCUCUUUCAAAGGCAAUUUUCUUCUUCAAACUUUUUAUUUUGGUGAAGAAUUUUUUUGAACAAACAACGUAAAGGAUCCUAAUAACCUGCAGGAGGCCAGUCUUUAAAUAUCUCAUCCCAGACUGAGUCACUGAGUCACUAAGUUCUGGGAAAUACUCCUCCUGCUGAGCCAGCUGGCUGGAAUUUCUUGGCUAUGAGGUGACUUUUGAAUGAUUAAAAAAAAAUGUUUCUCAGAGAAACGAUGUAAGUAGAAUGUGAGAGAACACAAUCCAUAGCUCAUGCAACAUGUCUCUACCUGUGUUUUUACAAGCGCAUAUGUUACAGAUCUAGAUCAAGUGUGAAUUUCCCCUCUGUACACAAUUUGCCUUCUUGUCAGAUUUGUUAUGUAGGUUUAACCAGGCUGGAAUAGCAUCACUUUGAAAAUGAACCUGCAGCUCACCAGAAAAACAAACAAACAAACAAACAAGCAAGAAUAACACCAUUUAAAAAGCUCUCAAAUUUUAAGCCAACACCCUUCUGUAAGCUGCCAGAAGGUUUUUUUCCAUCAUGUGAUUCUUUUACUUGCUGUAAAUCUCUAUAAAGAAUGGUUUCUAAGAAGACAAGAAUUUUUGUUAAUUAAUCCGCUCAUGAGUGUCAUUCCCAGAUUCUUAUUACUUGGAUAUUUCAGCAUUAACUGUAAUAAAUAAAAUAUAAUACUUGCCCAAGCAAAGAAGAAGAAAUAAGCAAACAUAUAAGUGUCAAUCACAAUGGAUGGACACAUCACAGAUGGAUGACAAUACAUACGUAUAAUUUUUUGUAGCAAUAUAAAAUGUGGGGACCAGGAACCAAAUGUUGGAGUCAGAAAGUCUGAGAUGGAUUGCACCAAAUCAGAGGAUGGCAUAGAAAUGAGUACAACAGAGCUGGGUGGGUAUAGUGAUUACAUAGAGGAGCGUGCAUUUUACUUCUCUGACAAGAUGCUAAUAACCUCUGUGCAUGUGUUUCUCUAUAUUCCUAUGACUGCAUAGAUAGAAAAGAAAGAACAUUUCCACAAAACAAAGAUUUCAUAGUCACUUUUAGUUCCACAAACCAUUUGCCUGCUGCUUUGCUCUUUACUUUGGGAAAAAUGGUUUGUGAUUUUCAGUACCCUGUGCUGGAAGGAGUGGGCAGAGCAAAAGCUGUAGGAUGAUGCUAUUACUGUCCUGUCUGUUUUAAACUGGGAGACCUGGCACUUAGGUGGUAAUAAAUGUGCAAGAGCCCUGCAAGUAUACAGGUAAGUUUUGCCUCAAAAUACCUGUAGUCUAAGAAGAAAAUAAACGUAAUAGAAAGAGUGAAGGACCUAGCCCAUUUUAGGAAGAGAGUGAUGGAGAAUAUAAGAUGUCUGCCCGAUGUCUGUGAGCAGUUUACCAUUGCACCAGAAAGGUGGCUGGGGUGUGCUGCAUGCGUGUGGGCAGGAGCUUGCAACAGCCUUCUGGAGGGGGCCUGCUGCCCAUCCUUUGUGCCCUGUGGCCCCAGAACAGCAGCCCUUCAGCAUUCAGCUGGCUGCAAGAAACGGAAGAAGGCCCUCCAAGGUCAUGGGGAUGCAGCUCCCAAAUAACUUGCAGGAGUAAAACCUGCUAUAAACAGUUCUGCCUCUGUGCAUUCAUAUGUAGAUCCUGUUAAUAUCAGAAUCACCUUGAGCUCUAACCACAGCUUUCUCUCCUUAUUGCUGAGUUUAUUGCAGAUAAUGAGUGUGAGAAAUUGAUUUCUGCAUUUAGGAAGCUCCAAUCUUUGGUAAUUCAAGAGCUUGAAGCCUGGCUUUGUUUGCAACACCCUCAUCAUGCUGGCAUACCUGAACAUGCAAGGUUUAGCACCAGAGGGUCUGCAAACCUGAAAGUUUCUCAUUAUUUGUAGUGAUCAUAAAGACAAGCCCAGAGCUGCUGAAUCAAGCUGAAGAGUCAAUAUACAGGGGAGAUAAAUAUAACACAGCAGCAGAAAGCAGUAAAAUCCACCACUUCAGCAUUUUUGCAGAAUCCUGAAGCAGUUUGUAAUGGAGAUUUUCCACAAUGUCUGAAUUCUCUGAGCUUGCUUAUCAUCAGAAUGGAGACACCUUGCUUUCAGCAGGCAGCUUUGCUUCUUGUGUUAUUUUUCCUAUUCUUUCUGGUCUUUGUUUCCUUUGGGUCUGUUCUCUACUUUCUGGGGCUUGCAGUGAGGUGCUGGACCAUGGUGAAUGCUCUUCAGCCUCACUAUGCUAGUAUUGCUAAUUGAAUAGUAUUGCUUCUAAGUAUUGCUUCUAAGCAAUGAGGUCUCCAUGGAGCCUUUUUGUCUCCAAGCUAAGUCCAACUUUGUCUAUGUUUCUACACAAGAGAGGUGCUCCAGCCCUUUGAUGAUCAUUGUGGCUGUUCUCUGGACCUACUCCAACAACUCCAUGUUUCCAUUGUGCUGGGGGCCCCACGCCUGGACGCAGUACUCCAGAUAAGGCUUCGCAUGGGCAGAGCAGAAGACAACCUCCUCCCUUGCCUUCCUGCCCCCCUGUUUUGAUAGAGCCCAGGAUACAGUUGGACUUCAAGACUAGGGUAACUGUCUGAAUGGCUGCAAGAGACCGCAGCUGAGAGUCAUAACUUGUAAUUGUGGAAGAUAUAAUCAGCUUGAGCUUGGUUAGGAUUGCGCUAGGAAAUUGGAGGAGAGGAUAGCUGAGCAUUCCCUUCACUAACUUAAACAACAAAUGGCAUUGAUUACCUUCUGGGUGAGAUGCAGAAAAGGACAGAAAACCAUUGAGUUCUAACAAAAUUUUGUGUGAGAUUGUAAAGGAAGAGAAGAUUGUUCUUUUUCCUGGAUUUGUUAACUCCAUUCUUCCAUAUUAAUGAAA